UUAACCUUUGAUUCAGACUUCUUCCUCAUAAAGAUUUCUGUUUUUAUAGUUUUUCUGAAUUAUGUGUAGUUUUGAAUUUGUAACUCACACUUAUCUACCUCUGGCAUAAUUCUUUUUCUUUGGUGCUUUUUCAGAAAAAUUAUUUUCACUAAGUGGAAUAUUUUUUUUACCAAUAUUAACAAUAAUCAUGAACACCAAAGAUUUUGUAGUUCUUCCAUGGGGAAAAACUGGAAAUUCUGUAAAACUAAAAUAUAAAAAUGUUCAAGAACUGCGAAUGGAAAAAUUACAAUUAGAAUUGGAGAACCAAAAGAUGGAAAAGAAAUUACAAGAAUUCCAGUCAUCAAGGAAUAGAGAAAAGGAGCAAAUAAAGUGGGUAAAUUUUUCAGAGAAUUUCUGAAGAAUAAACUAAAUUAUAUAAAGAAGUAUAUAUUAAUUUUACGCCUAGGAAAAUGUUUGGUAUGUGAUCAUUUUCAGUU
rnacentral:lncRNA from 1 species